rnacentral:rRNA from 1 species
GAGUUUGAUCCUGGCUCAGAACGAACGCUGGCGGCGUGCCUAACACAUGCAAGUCGAACGUGAUUCGGAGCUUGCUCCGAUGAAAGUGGCGCACGGGUGAGUAACGCGUGGAUAACCUGCCCUGGUAUCUGGGAUAACAUCUCGAAAGGGGUGCUAAUACCGGAUAAGCCCACGGAGUCUUUGGACUUUGCGGGAAAAGGGGGGGACCUUCGGGCCUUCUGUCAUCARAUGAGUCUGCGUACCAUUAGCUAGUUGGUAGGGUAAAGGCCUACCAAGGCUACGAUGGUUAGCUGGUCUGAGAGGAUGAUCAGCCACACUGGAACUAAGACACGGUCCAGACUCCUACGGGAGGCAGCAGUGGGGAAUUUUGCGCAAUGGGCGAAAGCCUGACGCAGCAACGCCGCGUGAGUGAUGAAGGCUUUCGGGUCGUAAAGCUCUGUCGAGGGGAAAGAAGUGUAUUGUGGCUAAUAUCCAUUGUACUUGACGGUACCCCUAAAGGAAGCACCGGCUAACUCCGUGCCAGCAGCCGCGGUAAUAC